rnacentral:tRNA from 1 species
GCUAACGUAGCUAAACCCGGCCUUGCRAAAGAUCUAAGCCCUUUUAAUAGAGGUUCAAAUCCUCUCGUUAGCU